rnacentral:rRNA from 1 species
GUAGGUGGCAAGCGUUGUCCGGGAAUUAUUGGGGCGUAAAGCGCGCGCAGGCGGUUCUUUAAGUCUGAUGUGAAAGCCACGGGCUCAACCGUGGAGGGUCAUUGGAAACUGGAGAACUUGAGUACAGAAGAGGAAAGCGGAAUUCCACGUGUAGCGGUGAAAUGCGUAGAGAUGUGGAGGAACACCAGUGGCGAAGGCGGCUUUCUGGCCUGUAACUGACGCUGAGGCGCGAAAGCGUGGGGAGCAAACAGGAUUAGAUACCCUGGUAGUCCACGCCGUAAACGAUGAGUGCUAAGUGUUAGGGGGUUUCCGCCCCUUAGUGCUGCAGCUAACGCAUUAAGCACUCCGCCUGGGGAGUACGGCCGCAAAGGCUG